GACGGAGGAUGCAAGUGUUAUCUGGAAUCACUGGGCGUAAAGCGUCUGUAGGUGGUUUAAAAAAGUCCACUGUUAAAAAUUGAAGCUUAACUUCAAAGAUGCCGUGGAAACUUUUAAACUUGAGUAUGAUAGGGGUAGAGGGAAUUUCCAGUGGAGCGGUGAAAUGCGUAGAUAUUGGAAAGACCACCAAUGGCGAAGGCACUCUACUGGGCCAUUACUGACACUGAGAGACGAAAGCUAGGGGAGCGAAUGGG
rnacentral:rRNA from 1 species